rnacentral:rRNA from 1 species
CCAGCAGCUGCGGUAAUUCCAGCUCCAAUAGCGUAUAUUAAAGUUGUUGCAGUUAAAAAGCUCGUAGUUGGAUUUCUGGCGGAGGCGUGGGUCCGUCCCCUCGUGGGAUGCGCACCCGUUCGUCCUCCGCCAUCCUCGCGGGAAAGGCUCGGGCGUUCACUCGUCCGUUCCGGCACCGCGUCAGUUACUGUGAAAAAAUUAGAGUGUUUAAAGCAGGCGUUUCGCUUGAAUACUUCAGCAUGGAAUAACACGAUAGGACUUCGGUGCUAUUUUGUUGGUUGCGUACCGAGGUAAUGAUUAAUAGGGAUAGUUGGGGGUAUUCAUAUUUCAUUGUCAGAGGUGAAAUUCUUGGAUUUAUGAAAGAUGAACAACUGCGAAAGCAUUUACCAAGGAUGUUUUCAUUAAUCAAGAACGAAAGU